AGCGGGGAAAGGUAGCUUGCUACUGGACCUAGCGGCGGACGGGUGAGUAAUGCUUAGGAAUCUGCCUAUUAGUGGGGGACAACAUUCCGAAAGGAAUGCUAAUACCGCAUACGUCCUACGGGAGAAAGCAGGGGACCUUCGGGCCUUGCGCUAAUAGAUGAGCCUAAGUCGGAUUAGCUAGUUGGUGGGGUAAAGGCCUACCAAGGCGACGAUCUGUAGCGGGUCUGAGAGGAUGAUCCGCCACACUGGGACUGAGACACGGCCCAGACUCCUACGGGAGGCAGCAGUGGGGAAUAUUGGACAAUGGGGGGAACCCUGAUCCAGCCAUGCCGCGUGUGUGAAGAAGGCCUUAUGGUUGUAAAGCACUUUAAGCGAGGAGGAGGCUACUAGUAUUAAUACUACUGGAUAGUGGACGUUACUCGCAGAAUAAGCACCGGCUAACUCUGUGCCAGCAGCCGCGGUAAUACAGAGGGUGCGAGCGUUAAUCGGAUUUACUGGGCGUAAAGCGUGCGUAGGCGGCCAUUUAAGUCAAAUGUGAAAUCCCCGAGCUUAACUUGGGAAUUGCAUUCGAUACUGGAUGGCUAGAGUAUGGGAGAGGAUGGUAGAAUUCCAGGUGUAGCGGUGAAAUGCGUAGAGAUCUGGAGGAAUACCGAUGGCGAAGGCAGCCAUCUGGCCUAAUACUGACGCUGAGGUACGAAAGCAUGGGGAGCAAACAGGAUUAGAUACCCUGGUAGUCCAUGCCGUAAACGAUGUCUACUAGCCGUUGGGGCCUUUGAGGCUUUAGUGGCGCAGCUACCGCGAUAAGUAGACCGCCUGGGGAGUACGGUCGCAAGACUAAAACUCAAAUGAAUUGACGGGGG
rnacentral:rRNA from 1 species